UACGUAGGGUGCGAGCGUUGUCCGGAAUUACUGGGCGUAAAGGGCUCGUAGGCGGCCAACUAAGUCGGACGUGAAAUCCCUCGGCUUAACCGGGGAACUGCGUCCGAUACUGGAUGGCUUGAGUUCGGGAGAGGGAUGCGGAAUUCCAGGUGUAGCGGUGAAAUGCGUAGAUAUCUGGAGGAACACCGGUGGCGAAGGCGGCAUCCUGGACCGACACUGACGCUGAGGAGCGAAAGCGUGGGGAGCGAACAGG
rnacentral:rRNA from 1 species